CACGUAGGGCGCAAGCGUUGUCCGGAAUUAUUGGGCGUAAAGAGCUCGUAGGCGGUCUGUUGCGUCCGCUGUGAAAACCCGGGGCUUAACCCCUGGCUUGCAGUGGAUACGGACAGACUAGAGGUAGGUAGGGGAGAAUGGAAUUCCCGGUGUAGCGGUGAAAUGCGCAGAUAUCGGGAGGAACACCGGUGGCGAAGGCGGUUCUCUGGGCCUUACCUGACGCUGAGGUGCGAAAGCGUGGGGAGCAAACAGG
rnacentral:rRNA from 1 species